GGGUUGUGAGGUUAAGCGACCAAGCGUACACGGUGGAUGCCCUGGCAGUCAGAGGCGAUGAAGGACGUGCUAAUCUGCGAUAAGCGCCGGUAAGGUGAUAUGAACCGUUAUAACCGGCGAUUUCCGAAUGGGGAAACCCAGUGUGAUUCGUCACACUAUCAUUAACUGAAUCCAUAGGUUAAUGAAGCGAACCGGGGGAACUGAAACAUCUAAGUACCCCGAGGAAAAGAAAUCAACCGAGAUUCCCCCAGUAGCGGCGAGCGAACGGGGAGGAGCCCAGAGCCUGAAUCAGCAUGUGUGUUAGUGGAAGCGUCUGGAAAGGCGCGCGAUACAGGGUGACAGCCCCGUACACAAAAGCGCAUGUGCUGUGAGCUCGAUGAGUAGGGCGGGACACGUGGUAUCCUGUCUGAAUAUGGGGGGACCAUCCUCCAAGGCUAAAUACUCCUGACUGACCGAUAGUGAACCAGUACCGUGAGGGAAAGGCGAAAAGAACCCCGGCGAGGGGAGUGAAACAGAACCUGAAACCGUGUACGUACAAGCAGUGGGAGCACAGGUUUACCUGUGUGACUGCGUACCUUUUGUAUAAUGGGUCAGCGACUUAUAUUCUGUAGCAAGGUUAACCGCAUAGGGGAGCCGAAGGGAAACCGAGUCUUAACCGGGCGUUAAGUUGCAGGGUAUAGACCCGAAACCCGGUGAUCUAGCCAUGGGCAGGUUGAAGGUUGGGUAACACUAACUGGAGGACCGAACCGACUAAUGUUGAAAAAUUAGCGGAUGACCUGUGGCUGGGGGUGAAAGGCCAAUCAAACCGGGAGAUAGCUGGUUCUCCCCGAAAGCUAUUUAGGUAGCGCCUCGUGAAUUCAUCUCCGGGGGUAGAGCACUGUUUCGGCUAGGGGGCCAUCCCGGCUUACCAACCCGAUGCAAACUGCGAAUACCGGAGAAUGUUAUCACGGGAGACACACGGCGGGUGCUAACGUCCGUCGUGAAGAGGGAAACAACCCAGACCGCCAGCUAAGGUCCCAAAGUCAUGGUUAAGUGGGAAACGAUGUGGGAAGGCCCAGACAGCCAGGA
rnacentral:rRNA from 1 species